CCAGAGGGCCGGGCGGCCGCGCGCCGAAGCUUCAGCGAGGUGCGAGGAAAGUCCGGGCUCCACGGAACGACGGUGCCGGGUAACGCCCGGCGGGGGCGACCCCAGGGACAGUGCAACAGAAAGCAGGUCGCGCCAGGCCUCGGCCGAGAUCUUCGGAGGCGUGACAUUGAAAGGGUGCGGUAAGAGCGCACCGCGGCCCCGGCAACGGCGGCCGGCACGGUAAACCCCACCGGGAGCAAGACCGAAUAGGGAUGGCUGGGCUCGUUCCGCCCUUUGCCGUCCGGGUUGGUUGCUGGAGGGGCGGAGCGAUCCGUCUCCUAGAGGAAUGGCCGCACAUCCGUCGAUGCCUCACGGCUAUGGCGGAGGACAGAACCCGGCUUACAGGCCCUCUGGCAAU
rnacentral:RNase_P_RNA from 1 species